UACGGAGGGUGCGAGCGUUGUCCGGAAUCACUGGGCGUAAAGCGUGCGCAGGCGGUCUGUUAAGACCGAUGUGAAAUCCCCGGGCUUAACCUGGGAACUGCAUUGGUGACUGGCAGGCUUUGAGUGUGGCAGAGGGAGGUAGAAUUCCACGUGUAGCAGUGAAAUGCGUAGGGAUGUGGAGGAAUACCGAUGGCGAAGGCAGCCUCUGGGCCAACACUGACGCUCAUGCACGAAAGCGUGGGGAGCAAACAGG
rnacentral:rRNA from 1 species